CCUACGGGGGGCUGCAGUGAGGAAUAUUGGUCAAUGGUCGGGAGACUGAACCAGCCAAGCCGCGUGAGGGAUGAAGGUACAGAGUAUCGUAAACCUCUUUUGUCAGGGAACAAAGGCGGGGACGUGUCCCCGGAUGAGUGUACCUGAAGAAAAAGCAUCGGCUAACUCCGUGCCAGCAGCCGCGGUAAUACGGAGGAUGCGAGCGUUAUCCGGAUUUAUGGGGUUUAAAGGGUGCGCAGGCGGUCUGUUAAGUCAGCGGUCAAAGCCCGGGGCUCAACCCCGGCCCGCCGUUGAAACUGGCAGUCUCGAGUUGGAGAGAAGUAGGCGGAAUGCGCGGUGUAGCGGUGAAAUGCAUAGAGAUCGCGCAGAACUCCGAUUGCGAAGGCAGCAUGCCGGCUCCACACUGACGCUGAGGCACGAAAGCGUGGGUAUCGAACAGGAUUAGAUACCCGGGUAGUC
rnacentral:rRNA from 1 species